UACAGAGGUCUCAAGCGUUGUUCGGAUUCAUUGGGCGUAAAGGGCGCGUAGGCGGCGCGGUAAGUCGGGUGUGAAAUCUCGGGGCUUAACUCCGAAACUGCAUUCGAUACUGCCGUGCUUGAGGACUGGAAAGGAGACUGGAAUUUACGGUGUAGCGGUGAAAUGCGUAGAUAUCGUAAGGAAGACCAGUGGCGAAGGCGGGUCUCUGGACAGUUCCUGACGCUGAGGCACGAAGGUCAGGGGAGCAAACGGG
rnacentral:rRNA from 1 species